UGGGUUUCUGCUGCCUGAGGUAUUCACUGAGCACUUGGUCAGUUGGGGCCAUCUUCCCAAUGUAUUCUUGGAUGAAUAGGAUGAGGGACCUAUGGAUUCUUCGCUGCAAGCAUUGACGAGCGCAUGCUUUUAACAUUGACCCGUGAUGAUCUGAGGGACCUUUUUUCUGGGCCUGAGCACUUUCUCAGAAGAAAACAUGUGUGGUCAAUAAUUCAUCCUGAGGUAUUAUAUGCUGAUCGCAGUUCUUCCAGUGGUGCAUCUACUCUGUUAUCACCUGUCAGAAAUUCUGACAAUGCCUCCACUUCAUCUGACAAGGAUAGUCGGCAAAUACAAGCAAGACAUUACAAAACAUUACAAGAAAUGUGUAAGAAGGCAAAACCAAACCAAGAAGAUGUGUCCCAGCUAUUAGACCUCG
ensembl:lncRNA